UACGGGGGGGGCAAGCGUUGUUCGGAAUUACUGGGCGUAAAGGGCUCGUAGGCGGCCAACUAAGUCAGACGUGAAAUCCCUCGGCUCAACCGAGGAACUGCGUCCGAUACUGAAAGGCUUGAAUCCGGGAGAGGGAUGUGGAAUUCCAGGUGUAGCGGUGAAAUGCGUAGAUAUCUGGAGGAACACCGGUGGCGAAGGCGGCAUCCUGGACCGGUAUUGACGCUGAGGCGCGAAAGCUAGGGGAGCAAACGGG
rnacentral:rRNA from 1 species